CCUCGGACGGGCCGCCUGGCGCCGGGCCGGCGACGGUGGCGGUUCCCGGGCGACCCGGGCGGGGCCGGGGCCGUGGCGUGUGCGCGUUGCCAGGCCGGCGUUUGAUGUUUGUUGCUUAUGGUUGUUGCGGUAGUGAAUGGUAAAAACGUUACUCGGGAGGGGAAACUGCUUGGACUGUGCGGCGUUCCCCGUGCGUGCGGGACGUAGGUUCAUCCUGCGCACACACCACACACGAAACGGAGUGUGUGCCCGGUGGGCUUUAAAAACAAUAAAUACUAAACUCUAAAGCCCUGAAACUAGGGGACGUUUGUCCGACGAGUUUCAGGUGCCAGGCUUCGUGCUCCGUGGGAGAAAAACAGGAGGACGCCGGAGGGCUUGAUGCGCCCAAGCCGCACGUUUUUGUAGUCAGCGCCGGCCGGGAAGCGAGCGGAGGAAUCGCGCUGACCCAGUGCCGCCCGCCCGUCGGAGCCUCCCUGAAAGUCCUAGACGACUGACGAAAACGCCCUGGUUUGCAAAAGGUACAGGAUCCGGACAGCUGAGGAAAUGGCAGGAGUCUGCAGCGAAGGGGAAGAGAACAGCCUGGGAAUGUCCUGGCAGCCUCAGCACCUGCAGACUUGCUCCUGCCCUGAGCAUUUCUGACAUGGAACAAUAGAAUUGGAAAAAUCAGCACUUGCUCAGCAUAUCCCCUCCUAUUGGUCUUUUGGAGCUCGGUGGCAUUUUGUAGGGCCUGUGUUCAUGGAGAUGAACAGUCAUGAAUGGUUUACUCCAGGUGAUAAACACACGUGGGAAAGUAAAUUGAGGUAUACAUAUCUUGGUUUUUUUUUUCUUUCUCUUCCCACUUCUGUUUACGUGGCAAGAACAUAUCUUGAUUUUUAAAAAUAAUUUUUUUGAGCUUUUGUGGUCAUUGUCAAAAAUAAAGUAAUUCAUUGACUUUUUUGUGAAAUGCUGUACAUUUCUAUUUUACAUUUUAAAAAUAUCACUUAAUUUAUUUUUCAAUUUUUCUUGUAUUGCUUGUAUAUUCUACCACAAAUGCAUCGCUUGUUUUUUGUGUGACAUUUUAGGAGCUUGCUUGAGGGGAAACAGGGAGAAGGGUAGUGAUGCUGGGGUGAGUGUUUUAGCUUGUGAAGGCAGCUGUGCUCUACUUUAAGAAAUCUGACAUUUUAAAGUUUAAGGUUACAAAGCAAAUUAAUUCGUGCUUGUUUAUAUUAUAUAUGAGAAUUUUACAAGAGGGAUUCACUAAAAAGUGCCUUCAAAUAAUCCCUUUAUAUGGUACUUACCAAACGUGAUUUGAUUUAUGAAAAAUCAGCUAGCAUACAAUUUAGGAACAGAUUUUUGGCAUACGUAAGGGUUAUCAGUGUGUUCCUUGAAUUAUCUCUUUCCCAAAAGUGUUGGGGACAAAGUUAUAUUCAGUGUUGUCCCACUUAUAUGCCACCUAUUAAUGGUUGAACUGAGUGGAAAGACUCAUCUGACUUAGCUGUACGAUUUAACCUACUUUGGAACCUAAUUAAAAUAGGUUCCAUUCAGUAAAAUGUUACGGUCUGUUUUGUCAGGACCCUCAUCCAAGAUAUUUUGGUUACUAAGGUACCAAAAACACUUUGUCGGCCGGGCACAGUGGCUCAUGCCUGUAAUCCCAGCACUCUGGGAGGCCGAGGCAGGCAGAU